AUGAACGCUAGCGGCAGGCUUAAUACAUGCAAGGUUGAGGGGCAGCAUGAUAUACGCGAGUAUAUUGAUGGCGACCGGCGGACGGGUGAGUAAUAGGUAGGAGACCUACCUCAUACAGGGGGAUAGCAUAGAGAAAUCUGUGGUAAUACCCCAUGAGGUUAUAUGAAUAGAGGCAUAUAAUCAAAGCAUAAGUGAUUAUGCGGUAUGAGAGGGGCCUACUGACCAUUAGCUAGUUGGUGAGGUAAGGGCUCACCAAGGCGAAGAUGGUUAGGGGUUUUGAGAGAGAGACCCCCCACAUUGGAACUGAGAGACGGUCCAGACUCCUACGGGAGGCAGCAGUAGGGAAUAUUGGGCAAUGGGCGAAAGCCUGACCCAGCCAUGCCGCGUGAAGGAAGACGGCCUUAUGGGUUGUAAACUUCUUUACUACGCGAAUAGAGGUUAGUACGAGAUACUAAUAGGAAGGUAGUGUAGUAAAAAGCACCGGCUAACUCCGUG
rnacentral:rRNA from 1 species